GUGUCAAAGUCAGAGAGCCGUGUCUCUCUACAGUGAGAGGUUUUUGUACGGCGGCUCAAUGACUUUGUAUCACUGUGGUGGACUUUUGGUGGAGGAACCAGACUGGAUGUUGGAAGUGAUGUCCGUCCCACCCUGACGGUGCUGCCCCCCUCCAGAGAAGAGCUGCAGCAGGGGAAGGCCACGCUCAUGUGCCUGGCCAACAAGGGCUUCCCCUCAGACUGGAGUCUGGCCUGGAAGGUGGACGGCAGCAGCAGCAGCAGCAGCUGGGAGGAGAGCAGGAGCCCCGGGGUGCUGGAGAAGGACGCCCACUACAGCUGGAGCAGCACCCUGAGGCUCUCUGCAGACCAGUGGAGGAAGGUGGGCUCUGUGACCUGUGAGGCCACCCAGGGCUCCCAGACUCCGCUCUCAGAGACACUGAGGAGAGACCAGUGUUCCCAGUCCUGAGCUGACUCACUGGGACUCUGUUCUCUCUCUUCCUCAUUCAUGAUCAAUUUUAAUCAAAUUGAAUGAUUGCAAUACUUCAAUUUUCAUUAUUGUAAUUAUGUGUAUGCCAUUAAAAAAAUAAAGCAAAUUAAAUGUAAAAUAAUCAA